GCCAAUGAAAGAAACUAGAAGGUCUUAGACUCAAAUGGCCGAAGGGAUAAGGUUCCCUAUCGUCAUCCACUCAUCCUCGAUGCAUCACAAAUCCAUCGAUUUGUUUAGUUCUGCAGAGAGGCACCGAUGUUGCGGUUCAUGGCGUCGCCAGCCAUAGCCGGGGGGCUUGCUCGUACAACGCCACGCGCCAGAGAGCGUUGCCGGCCGUCGGUUUCCCCAUCGUGCCGGAGGACGUCGCCUCCACUGCUGCUCAUGGUCCGCGCACGCCGAAGGGCUGCAUGGCCGCGUCGUGGUUGGUUGCUCCGUGGGAGCCGCCUUGAGGCCGAGGGCCUCAGAUGAUGUCCGUGUGACGCGCGUGUCGCUCUUCGCGGAGGAUUCAGGCCGAAGGAGGGCACCGCCGCACCACCGGGGUGCGUCGGGCGUAGUGGGUGUGCCUCCACCGACAGCGUUCAUAUUUGUUUUCUUCUGUUCUUGCGAUGUGUAUGGCGUCCCUUAUUGAAGGUCCCCGGAGUUGCUUGGUGCCGUUCGUCGCUUGAUGCCGAUGGGUAGUGCAGAAGCGAGCGCGGCGCGUGAGGGUGGCCUCGCCGGGCGCAAGAAUGGCGCUGAGGGCCGUCGGGCGCUCCGUGGUGUGCCACGGAUGCAAUAUGAGAACUCCGUCGCCGGACGAGCGUCGCGCGUCGGCCGUUUUGCCUCCAGAUGCGGGAGAAGAUCCCUUGGCGCCUCGCCGCUGUUACGCCGCCUCCCUAUCACUUUCUUCUCGCUUUCUAUGGCCAAAUCGCUCUCGGUUACGAGCGUGCUAAUAACGUGUUGAAUGUAAAAGUGAUUGAAUUAAGGAAAGGCUCCUGAUUUCAUUGAAUCUCAAGAUAUAUAUACACUCCGAAGAGGCGCCUUGUAGAGGCGGUAGUUACAAUAGAUAUGGGAAGGAAAAGAACGCCUUGUAGAGGCGGUAGUUACAAUAGAUAUGGGAAGGAAAAGAACGCGUCCGUACGGACACAUGCGUCCGUACGAGGCGUCUGUUCGGUGUUGGACACACCUAUUCAACUAAUGACGGUUUGUUAA